rnacentral:lncRNA from 1 species
GGGGAAGCGCGGCCCGCCAUGGAUCAAAUAAUUACACUUGGGAGCUCCUUGGACCUGCGCCCCCCAGCCGUGCACUGGGACGCCUCAGGGCUGCCUGCACCCCGCAGCCACCGACCCAGGCAGAGGUCGGAGGGGGGCCACAAGAACAGUCACUCCACCCAGUGACUGCCUUUGCUCCCUGGCAAGCCAGGCACCCCUGCCCCAUUGGAGAACCCAAGAAGGAGCCCAGGACUACCUUCCCAGCAGCCGGGACCCACCUGCACUGGAAGCUGCUCAAAUCCCAACCUGCGCUGGAAUUUUCGAGACUUAGUGCAUGCUUGUGCAUCCAGCCUUUGCUUCCUGUCUUCAGCCCCCUGGGUGGUUCUUUCACAGAUGCCUUGUCAGCUAAAUGGAGAGCAGGGAGUGGCCCCCCCAGGCUUUUUUGAGCCCGGGUUUGCCUCGGAGGACAUCCUGACUCUAUGGCUGUCUGUGCGUCUGGCCUUCAGCCUAGGUGCUUGUACAAGCCUGGGCACAUCGCUGGUACCUGCAUUCCAAGACACCCUUUCUCUCAGGGUCAGCACCCUCUCCCUCUUGUUUCUGUUUGUUUGAGCUUAAUGGGCUUAAUUAUUUCAGCUGCAUCUGGUGAAGCUCGCACAGGGCUUCCAAGGCUGCUCCCUCCAGCCCCAGACCUGUCUGGAACAGAGUCCCAUGUUAUGCCCCAUGGCGGGUGGUUCUAGGUGCACUGAAAGCCGGGAGUGACCUUCUAGCUUUCCGGCCUCAGGAGCCUUUGGAUCACACUCUGGUUCUCACCUCGGGGCCUUCCUAGUCCCAAGUGGCUGGAGCCCACGCAUUCAGCAGCGCGGGCAGCAGAGACCCUCUCGGGGCCCUCUUCUUUCCCCUGCUGGACUUCAGUGGCGGUGUGGCAGAGUGGCUCGCUUAUGCCCAGCCGUGGCUUCCCAGGGAAGGAGGCUCCAGUGCACACACCUAUUUCUGUCCCCAGAGACCCCAGGCAUCUGCCCAGGCAUGCACAGCCAGAGCAGGUGGCCUGCUCCGACCUUCUGGCCGCUGGGUCCUCCCAGGCAGCUUCAGCGCAGUGCUCAGGGCCCAGUUCCAGGGUAGCAGGGCUCUGGGGUCUUGGGGGAAGCUAAGGCCGGGGUUCUACAGGGACAGCCCAGACGAAGGGAGGUGGCAUUCAUCUUCAUUUUAGGCCCUUAGGGUGUAAACAGGAGAAAUAUGAUCUUGGUAACCAAACAUGAAUGCAAAUCACACCGGCAGAGUAAUAAAGCACCUGAAACCCCAACGCACAUAAGCAACACCAUAUGUAUGUAGACAACCUGC